GGGGGGGGGGGGGGGGGGGCGGGGCGCAGGCAGGGCGGACGGGGGGUGUGUGGGAGUUCGUUCGGGGGGGGGGAGGGGAGGAAAGUGGCGAACGGGGGAGUAACACGUGAGCAACCUACCUGACACAGGGGGAUAGCCGUUGGAAACGACGAUUAAGACCGCAUGAGACCACCGAAGCGCAUGAUAUAGGGGUCACAAAUGUAUCGGCGGAAGAAGGACUCGCGACUGAUUCGCGAGUUGGCAGGGGAAAGGCCUACCAAGGCGACGAUCAGCAGCCGGUCUGAGAGGAUGAGCGGCGACAGUGGAACGGAGCCACGGUCCGAGCUCCCACGGGAGGCAGCAGUGGGGAAUAUUGCCCAAUGGGGGGAACCCUGAUGCACCGCCGCCGCGUGAGCGAAGAUGGUUUUCAAAUCGAACAGCUCUGUCAUAUGCGAAGAUACUGACGGUACCAUAGGAGGAAGCCCCGGCUAAAUACGUG
rnacentral:rRNA from 1 species